UGGGGUAUGGUGUAAUUGGCAACACAAGUGAUUCUGGUUCACUCGUUCUAGGUUCGAGUCCUGGUACCCCAGCCA
rnacentral:tRNA from 2 species